UCCCUGGAGGACUAGUGGUUAGGCCACAGCGCUCUCACUGCUGCAGCCCAGGUUUGAUUCCCGGCCAGGGAA
rnacentral:tRNA from 2 species